GGCGCCCGCCCCCCCUCCCGACCCGGCCCAGCCAGGCGAGGCGGCGGCGGCGGCGGCUUCCCGGACCGGCGGUUCCCGUGAGUCUAGCUACCUCUGAGGCUGAAGGAGGGCAGAAGAACGACUCCGUAGCCCAUCCUCCUGUUCUGUCUCUGCUCGUCCUCUGAGCCGUCUCAACGUUCCCAGGAGAACGGGCCAUCCUUUGAAGGAUUUUAAGAAGAGUAUUGGACAGCCAUUUGUUCCGGAAUGGCAUAAGGUCUCCUGCUGGAGCACGGGAUUGGACUAGAAGACCUCCAAGGUCCCUUCCAACUCUUAUUCUGUAAUUCUGGAUGGCUUGAUAAGUUGGCAACCAUCCUGGCCUCUGAAGAGGACCAGCCACCAAGGGGGCC